AGAAAAAAAUGGAUAGUAAAAUGGGGCUGCUAACCUUGUUUUGGGUGGUUCAAUUCCAUCCUUUUUCUU
rnacentral:tRNA from 1 species